AUAAAAGGAUAAUACGGAAGUAUCUAUAUAAAGAGUGUUUUACUGAAGAAAAUGAGAAACAGUUCAGCCCAGAAUGAAGAAUGAGGCCAACUGAGAGAAUACAAAAAUGGAUUUCAUGGAGGAUGGUUGCCAUCUCUGAUUGGCCAAUGAUUUCUCCGUCCGAUGAAAACUAACAACCCUCCUUAUCAAAAAUUCCAAAAAAAGAAAAAAAAAAUUAAUACUUCCUUCGUUCCAUUUUUACUAGGUUUUGCAAAAUGUCCACAAAUUGCUGUAGAAAAGAUGGAAAGAGGCAGUGAUGACAUUGCUGUGUGAUGAUUCUGGGCUGAAAUUUGGGGCAUGGAGAAAACCCGACUCGUAUCUUGGCGGGGCAAAACCCGAAUCAUGCAAAACCGGUUCAUUUUUUUUUGCAGCCAUGGCGUUGUCGUCUUCUUCUCCUCUUUGCCCCCAUUUUACACAGAUCUGAGCCUCAUUUUCAAGUUCGGUUGGAAACCCAGUUCAUUUUAGCUCAAAAGACUGAGGCAAUCGGAGAAAAUGGGGAUUUUUUUUUUCAUCUCCGGACAAAAGUGCAAAUGACCCUCUGAGCUAAGGUCGGCUUAUGCUUUAAAGCCACUAGAAAGCAGUCCAAUCCAAACAGGCUCUUAUUGGAUUUUUCUUGUUAAGGUUGUUCAAAUGUGCUCUUCUGGAAAAGUUCCCAUUUUUAGGCAGUGAUGAUAUUUGCUAAUCUGGGCUGAUGUUUAUUAUUUGGGGUAUGGGGACAAUCUGACCCGUAUCUUGGCAUGGCAAAUCCAGAUGGUUUGUGAUUGAGUCUUCUCUUUCACAUGCAACUGGUUCUUUUGCAGCCAUGGCGGUUGUUGCCUUCUCUUUGCCCCAAUUUUUUGCAGAUCUGAGCCUCAAUUUCCAACUAGUCCAACUGGAUGUCCCAGGGCUCAAACAGUUCUGAACCUAAAUGAUGAAAAAACCCCAUGUAUGCACACACACACAAAAAAAAAACACGUCAUGAGAAAAUGUCAAAAUGGUCCCUUAUCAGUGCAAUGAUGAUCUUUCAAUCUAUCCUCUUUAGCUAGUAAUUGAGCAUUGAGAGUACCUGGCCAGUAUCUUGGCGGGGCAAUGACCCGGAUGCCUGUGAUUUUGUUGCAUGCAACUUGGGAAUAUUUGCAGCCAUCGCAUGACUGGACUCCGACUUUCUUUACCUGAGCAUAAGAUGGAUCUGAGCCUCAAUUGUCACUUGUGGGUGUAUUUGGAAUGAAGGAAAAUGUUUUAGUGUUCACUACAAUAAAAGAGACAUUUUGUGUCAAUAGAAUUCCUCUUGCUGACAAUAUUUAUCGCUGCAAAAACAUUUAGCUGCAAAUUAAGUUAAUGCCAUUGCAUCUAAAGUCGCUAGUGUCUUAAGUGACGUUUAUAUAGAGUGAUGUUUAUAAAUACUCAUAUAUGUUAUUGCCGCCAAAUAUAUUCUAGUAGCGAUUAUAUCAUUGCUGCUAAAUAAUUGCCACAAAAUUCUUUGUUUGUUGUAGUAGAAUCAGCCCUAAAGUGGCUAUCUUGUGUAUAACACCAUACUUGAAUGUGAUCCCAUUGUGGUCUGGAAAGUGGCUACCUUGUGUCAUCUCUACAAAUAAUAAGACCUUCGACAUGAGGCCCAUAAUGAGGCUGUGAUGAUUUUCAUUCUUUACUCAUCAGAUGGUUGAGCUUCAGUAUAUCUUGGCUUGGCAUCUUUUUGGGGGGUCUUGUGAGAUAUUUGAGCUAUUUGGGUUUCUGCCUCUUACAAAGACUCCUUAAGCUUGCAGCCAUGGUGGGGUUUAGCUUAUGUUUGAGAAAAGGCGAAUCUGAGCCUCCCGAAUCUCUGUUUGUGUGAAACAAUGAGGCUCUUUAUGCUACCCAACUUAUGCUGCAUAACUUAAUCCCUAUGGAACUUAGGCUGCGCGAGACGAAAGGUUCUACAAACUUAUGCAGAAACAAGAGCUCCUGAUUUUGGGGAAAUCCGUGCUAAAACUUGUUAAUUUAAUGCAUUGAGAAAAUCUGACCUGUAUCUUGGCAGGGCAACCCGGUAUGACAUCAUCUGUAAACUGGCGUUUGCAGCCAUGGCAUUGUUCCUUUCACUUUGCAUGUUCAUAUACAACAACAUAUGAGCACUAAAGUUGAUGGUAAAUUAUUUCUCAGAUGGUCACUUAACUUAAUGCGGGUACUCAGGAACCUAAAUACCCUAUAGGGUUCAGUCCGAGCAACAUAGAAUACAUUCAAUGAGGCAAUGAAGAUGUUCAAUCUUUAAGAAUCAGAUAGUUGAACUUUGUUGUAACUUGGUGUGGCAGCUCUAAGGGUCUUUGAGCCUUUCUGGAAAGAGAUUUAGAUUACCAUCGCUCAGUUUCAAAAGAAAAGAGAAGAGAUUUAGAUUACCAUCACUGUGGAACUACUGAAAUCAACAGCUCCAUCUGCCAAUGCCAAAAGCCAAAAGUAAAAAAAAAGGAUUCUGCAUUCAGUACAUGCAUUUUUCAUCUUGAUUUGGUUGAUGGAAAUUGGAUCCUCCGCAUACAUGAAAAACAUCCACUGAAUCAGUGACGUAGCUGGGAUAAGCUAAGCACAUACUCACAUGUCCGCUACCUAAACUUGGAACUGUUGGGAUAUUAUUGAUCAAAAGCACCAUAUUGGCCAAGUUAAUGGUGUAUUCUCAUUCCUGAUUAGAGGUACCAGAUGGGCAAAUUAAUUGGUCAAAGCAAUAAAGAUAGAGAGAAGAGGAAGCUCCAAAUGACCCAAAAGAAUAGGUUUGUACCCCUCAUAUUCAAAUGUAUUGUUUUAUAAUGUAUCGUAUUACAUAUUUAUAUUAUUUUGAUGAUUAUAACUGUUGGAUAGAACAAUAAUUCGAAGAAUAAAUCUAUUAGAAAAAUGAAUUAAACCUAAGCUACUAUGAUUUUCUUUUUUUGAAUUUGCAAGGGAAAGCUGUCAAAGACAGGAAAGCUGAUGGAUGUUGAUAAUCAUCAGGUUAGUUAUCUUCAACGUGGGCCUUGCCAUUGUUUAAGAAUAGAACAAAUUCACUUCCAAGAAAGAAAUAAUUGUAAACAUCCUCAAGAGGUUAUCUGUGCGGUCUCUUCUUCGAUUUAAAUCUUGGAAGGAGUUAAUUUCUCAGCCUUACUUUACGAUGAAGCAUCAAAGUCAUGCAAUGAAUGACUUAAAUUCCAAAAAGUUUCUUGUUAGCCAAUGGCAUGUUGGUAAGGAUGUUAUGUUUGAUUUCUUUUCUUCUGAUCUAUCUUCGGCUCAACCGGCCAUUGAGGAUAUAGAAAAACUUAAUUGUCCUCCAUAUUGCAAACCAUAACCAGUUGAGUCAUAUCCCAGACAGUAAGGAUUUUAUAGUCAUGACUGUCUGGGAUAUGGCUCAACUAGUGAUGACUAUUAAAUCCUUAAAGUUUAACUAUUCUGGAAUGGAAAUUCUGGCAUUAAAAAGUGGUUCUUGGAGAGAAAACAAUAGAUGUCGAGCUGACUUUUAACCUUUGUGGGAUCGUCAUGUUGAUUCUUUUGCAUUUCUACAUGGACCAUUUCAUUGUUUAAUUGGUUGCAUACGAGAUUGUUUUGUGGUUUCAUUUAGUAUUUCAGAUGAGGUGUACGGAGAGAUACAGUUGCUAGAGCCAAUGAUGGAAAAUGUCAAAAGGUUUCACCAACCAUGGAGUUUCAAUAUUAGGAGGAAUGCUUUGCUUUUAUUACAUUCAUGCUCCUUAUAACUCAAGGGAGACUACUUUUAAGUUAUGGGUAAUGAAGGAUUACAGUGUCAAGGAGUCUUGGAUGCCAUUAUAUAUUAUACAAGAUAACGUUUUGCAUUUACUCAGACCGAUAUAUAUGUUUGCAGAUGGUGAAGUGCUACUCAACUACAGAUGUAUAGACCAAGUAGGGUUUAACUUCCCAUUUAGGACAUCCAAAGGACCACUAAAAUUAUGGCACAAAUACAAUAUCCUAAAGCAAGGAAUUAUUUAUACAGAAAGCUUGAUCUCUUGCUUAUGUAUGAUAGACAUUUUUUAAUUUUAUUGGUUUUCGAGUAUCAUGUAACAAACUCUUAAUUUUGAUAAGUUUAUCUAUUGCACACUAAUUUUUGUAAUGUAAAA